rnacentral:rRNA from 1 species
UACAGAGGGUGCGAGCGUUAAUCGGAUUUACUGGGCGUAAAGCGCGCGUAGGCGGCUUUGCAAGUCGGGUGUGAAAUCCCCAGGCUUAACCUGGGAACUGCAUUCGAGACUGCAUUGCUAGAGUAUGGGAGAGGGAAGUGGAAUUUCCGGUGUAGCGGUGAAAUGCGUAGAUAUCGGGAGGAACACCGGUGGCGAAGGCGGCGACCUGGGUAGAUACUGACGCUGAGGCGCGAAGGCGUGGGGAGCAAACAGG